rnacentral:rRNA from 1 species
GAUGAACGCUGGCGGCGUGCCUAAUACAUGCAAGUCGAGCGAACGGACGAGAAGCUUGCUUCUCUGAUGUUAGCGGCGGACGGGUAAGUAACACGUGGAUAACCUACCUAUAAGACUGGGAUAACUUCGGGAAACCGGAGCUAAUACCGGAUAAUAUUUUGAACCGCAUGGUUCAAAAGUGAAAGACGGUCUUGCUGUCACUUAUAGAUGGAUCCGCGCUGCAUUAGCUAGUUGGUAAGGUAACGGCUUACCAAGGCAACGAUGCAUAACCGACCUGAGAGGGUGAUCGGCCACACUGGAACUGAGACACGGUCCAGACUCCUACGGGAGGCAGCAGUAGGGAAUCUUCCGCAAUGGGCGAAAGCCUGACGGAGCAACGCCGCGUGAGUGAUGAAGGUCUUCGGAUCGUAAAACUCUGUUAUUAGGGAAGAACAUAUGUGUAAGUAACUGUGCACAUCUUGACGGUACCUAAUCAGAAAGCCACGGCUAACUACGUG